rnacentral:rRNA from 1 species
UACGUAGGGGCGUAGCGUUAUCCGGAAUUACUGGGCGUAAAGGGUGCGUAGGUGGUUUCUUAAGUCAGAGGUGAAAGGCUACGGCUCAACCGUAGUAAGCCUUUGAAACUGGGAAACUUGAGUGCAGGAGAGGAGAGUGGAAUUCCUAGUGUAGCGGUGAAAUGCGUAGAUAUUAGGAGGAACACCAGUUGCGAAGGCGGCUCUCUGGACUGUAACUGACACUGAGGCACGAAAGCGUGGGGAGCAAACAGGAUUAGAUACCCGCGUAGUCCCUGAG